AGAGUUUGAUCAUGGCUCAGAUUGAACGCUGGCGGCAUGCCUUACACAUGCAAGUCGAGCGGCAGCGCGGGGGCAACCCUGGCGGCGAGCGGCGAACGGGUGAGUAAUGCAUCGGAACGUGUCCUCUUGUGGGGGAUAACCAGUCGAAAGACUGGCUAAUACCGCAUGAGCUCGAGAGAGGAAAGCAGGGGACCCGAGGGCAACUUCGGGCCUUGCGCGAGAGGAGCGGCCGAUGCCGGAUUAGCUAGUUGGUGGGGUAAUGGCCCACCAAGGCGACGAUCCGUAGCUGGUCUGAGAGGACGACCAGCCACACUGGGACUGAGACACGGCCCAGACUCCUACGGGAGGCAGCAGUGGGGAAUUUUGGACAAUGGGGGCAACCCUGAUCCAGCCAUGCCGCGUGUGUGAAGAAGGCCUUCGGGUUGUAAAGCACUUUCGGCCGGAACGAAAUCGCGCGGGCUAACACCCCGCGUGGAUGACGGUACCGGAAGAAGAAGCACCGGCUAACUACGUGCCAGCAGCCGCGGUAAUACGUAGGGUGCGAGCGUUAAUCGGAAUUACUGGGCGUAAAGUGUGCGCAGGUGGCCGCGCAAGUCGAGUGUGAAAGCCCCGGGCUUAACUUGGGAAUUGCGCUCGAAACUACGUGGCUAGAGUGUGGCAGAGGGAGGUGGAAUUCCACGUGUAGCGGUGAAAUGCGUAGAGA
rnacentral:rRNA from 1 species